rnacentral:rRNA from 1 species
UAUACGACUCUCGGCAACGGAUAUCUCGGCUCUCGCAUCGAUGAAGAACGUAGCGAAAUGCGAUACUUGGUGUGAAUUGCAGAAUCCCGUGAACCAUCGAGUCUUUGAACGCAAGUUGCGCCCGAGGCCUUUCGGUUGAGGGCACGCCUGCCUGGGCGUCA